GGUAAUACCGGCAGCACGAGUGAUGGCCGCUCUUAUUGGGCCUAAAGCGUCCGUAGCUGGCCGCGCAAGUCCAUCGGGAAAUCCGCACGCUUAACGUGCGGGCGUCCCGGUGGAAACUGCGUGGCUUGGGACCGGAAGAUCCAGAGGGUACGUCCGGGGUAGGAGUGAAAUCCUGUAAUCCUGGACGGACCACCGGUGGCGAAAGCGCUCUGGAAAGACGGAUCCGACGGUGAGGGACGAAAGCUCGGGUCACGAACCGGAUUAGAUACCCGGGUAGUCCGAGCUGUAAACGAUGUCUGCUAGGUGUGCCACAGGCUACGAGCCUGUGGUGUGCCGUAGGGAAGCCGUGAAGCAGACCGCCUGGGAAGUACGUCCGCAAGGAUGAAACUUAAAGGAAUUGGCGGGGGAGCACUACAACCGGAGGAGCCUGCGGUUUAAUUGGACUCAACGCCGGACAUCUCACCAGCAUCGACAGUAGCAAUGAAGAUCAGUGUGAUGAGCUUAUCGGAGCUACUGAGAGGAGGUGCAUGGCCGCCGUCAGCUCGUACCGUGAGGCGUCCUGUUAAGUCAGGCAACGAGCGAGACCCGCACUCCUAAUUGCCAGCAACACCCUUGUGGUGGUUGGGUACAUUAGGAGGACUGCCAGUGCCAAACUGGAGGAAGGAACGGGCAACGGUAGGUCAGUAUGCCCCGAAUGUGCUGGGCAACACGCGGGCUACAAUGGUCGAGACAGUGGGACGCAACCCCGAGAGGGGGCGCUAAUCUCCGAAACUCGAUCGUAGUUCGGAUUGCGGACUGAAACUCGUCCGCAUGAAGCUGGAUUCGGUAGUAAUCGCCGUUCAGAAGACGGCGGUGAAUACGUCCCUGCUCCUUGCACACACCGCCCGUCAAAGCACCCGAGUGAGGUCCGGAUGAGGCCCCUGUAUAGGGGUCGAAUCUG
rnacentral:rRNA from 1 species